rnacentral:rRNA from 1 species
CAGGGUGAUAGCCCCGUAACCGACGCUUCAUCGAGCGUGAAAUCGAGUAGGGCGGGACACGUGAUAUCCUGUCUGAAUAUGGGGGGACCAUCCUCCAAGGCUAAAUACUCCUGACUGACCGAUAGUGAACCAGUACCGUGAGGGAAAGGCGAAAAGAACCCCUGUGAGGGGAGUGAAAUAGAACCUGAAACCGUGUACGUACAAGCAGUAGGAGCACCUUCGUGGUGUGACUGCGUACCUUUUGUAUAAUGGGUCAGCGACUUAUAUUCAGUGGCAAGGUUAACCGUAUAGGGGAGCCGUAGCGAAAGCGAGUCUUAACUGGGCGCUCAGUCUCUGGAUAUAGACCCGAAACCGGGUGAUCUAGCCAUGGGCAGGUUGAAGGUUGAGUAACAUCAACUGGAGGACCGAACCGACUAAUGUUGAAAAAUUAGCGGAUGACUUGUGGCUAGGGGUGAAAGGCCAAUCAAACUCGGAGAUAGCUGGUUCUCCCCGAAAGCUAUUUAGGUAGCGCCUCGGACGAAUACUACUGGGGGUAGAGCACUGUUAAGGCUAGGGGGUCAUCCCGACUUACCAACCCUUUGCAAACUCCGAAUACCAGUAAGUACUAUCCGGGAGACACACGGCGGGUGCUAACGUCCGUCGUGGAGAGGGAAACAACCCAGACCGCCAGCUAAGGUCCCAAAGUAUUGCUAAGUGGGAAACGAUGUGGGAAGGCUCAGACAGCUAGGAUGUUGGCUUAGAAGCAGCCAUCAUUUAAAGAAAGCGUAAUAGCUCACUAGUCGAGUCGGCCUGCGCGGAAGAUGUAACGGGGCUAAGCAAUACACCGAAGCUGCGGCAAUAUCUUUUAGAUAUUGGGUAGGGGAGCGUUCUGUAAGCCGUUGAAGGUGAAUCGUAAGGUUUGCUGGAGGUAUCAGAAGUGCGAAUGCUGACAUGAGUAACGACAAAGGGGGUGAAAAACCUCCUCGCCGGAAGACCAAGGGUUCCUGUCCAACGUUAAUCGGGGCAGGGUGAGUCGACCCCUAAGGUGAGGCCGAAAGGCGUAAUCGAUGGGAAACGGGUUAAUAUUCCCGUACUUCUGACUAUUGCGAUGGGGGGACGGAGAAGGCUAGGUGGGCCAGGCGACGGUUGUCCUGGUUCAAGUGCGUAGGCUUGAGAGUUAGGUAAAUCCGGCUCUCUCUAAGGCUGAGACACGACGUCGAGCUGCUACGGCAGUGAAGUCAUUGAUGCCAUGCUUCCAGGAAAAGCCUCUAAGCUUCAGAUAGUCAGGAAUCGUACCCCAAACCGACACAGGUGGUCGGGUAGAGAAUACCAAGGCGCUUGAGAGAACUCGGGUGAAGGAACUAGGCAAAAUGGUACCGUAACUUCGGGAGAAGGUACGCUCUUGAUGGUGAAGUCCCUCGCGGAUGGAGCUGACGAGAGUCGCAGAUACCAGGUGGCUGCAACUGUUUAUUAAAAACACAGCACUGUGCAAAAUCGCAAGAUGACGUAUACGGUGUGACGCCUGCCCGGUGCCGGAAGGUUAAUUGAUGGGGUUAGCGCAAGCGAAGCUCUUGAUCGAAGCCCCGGUAAACGGCGGCCGUAACUAUAACGGUCCUAAGGUAGCGAAAUUCCUUGUCGGGUAAGUUCCGACCUGCACGAAUGGCGUAAUGAUGGCCACGCUGUCUCCACCCGAGACUCAGUGAAAUUGAAAUCGCUGUGAAGAUGCAGUGUACCCGCGGCUAGACGGAAAGACCCCGUGAACCUUUACUACAGCUUGGCACUGAACAUUGAACCUACAUGUGUAGGAUAGGUGGGAGGCUAUGAAGACGUGACGCCAGUUGCGUUGGAGCCGUCCUUGAAAUACCACCCUUGU